rnacentral:misc_RNA from 1 species
AACUUGCUGUCAAUGCUCGCAAUGUGAAAACCAACGAGGUCACCACCGCUUCAUUGGAUUUUCUCAAUCACGAAAUGUAGUAAUGAAGUUUGCGUAUUCUGAUGCAAUUUCAACUUAUCUGGAGCAAAUCUACUUUUUCUCCUGGUUAACAAUCCUGUUGUGUUGAAACCACGUUAUUAUAAGCAGAUGCUUCUAUAUCAAACAUAGAUCCUUUUUACAUUAUGUGAUGAACUAUUUUAUGAGAGAUUGCUUUUGUAUUCCAAUAAUUUGACAUAAAUUGUUACUUUUCUUUUUUAUGUAAAACUUUUUCUUUUAAUGUUUAAACUUUGUUAUCUCAGUGUGCUGAUAUUUCUUUAUCAUUUUAUAUAACUAUGGAAAUUGUAUGGAUGACAAUUGCUUGCAAAAUUACUUAUAGGUUAAUUGCAAUUCGUUGGGAGCGAUUAAAUGAUUAUAUGUAUUAAAGUAUACAAAUGUG